GUUCAGUUGCCCCGAGGGAAAGUUCAGUUGGCAGAGCAUGAGACUCUUGAUCUCAGGGCUGUGAGUUUGAACCCCACAUUGAGCA